rnacentral:piRNA from 1 species
UAAAGCAAAAGUCUUUGUCCAGGCGUGA